rnacentral:tRNA from 1 species
GACAUGGUGGCCCAAAGGGAGGGCGUCCGAGUGAAGUUCGGAAGGCUGCUGGUUCGAGUCCAGUCCAUGUCA